AGGGUUUGAUCAUGGCUCAGAGUGAACGCUGGCGGAGUGCUUAAUACAUGCAAGUCGUGCGAGAAAGUUUUCUUCGGAGAACGAGUAGAGCGGCGAACGGGUGAGUAACACGUAAAUAACCUGCCCUUAAGUUUGGGACAACCUUGCUAACGCGAGGCUAAUACCGGAUGUGAAUAUUUUUCUUCAUGGUUAGAUAUUUAAAGGUCUUUCGAGAUUGCUUAGGGAUGGAUUUGCGCACUAUUAGUUAGUUGGUAAGGUAACGGCUUACCAAGGCGAUGAUAGUUAGCCGACCUGAGAGGGUGAUCGGCCACAUUGGGACUGAGACACGGCCCAGACUCCUACGGGAGGCAGCAGUAGGGAAUAUUGCGCAAUGGACGAAAGUCUGACGCAGCAACUCCGCGUGGAGGAUGACGGUUUUCGGAUUGUAAACUCCUUUUAUUUGGGAAGAAAAAAACUAUGGAGACAUAGUUCUUGACGGUACCAUUUGAAUAAGCAACGGCUAAAUACGUGCCAGCAGCCGCGGUAAUACGUAUGUUGCAAGCGUUACUCGGAAUCACUGGGCGUAAAGAGUUCGUAGGCGGACUUACAAGUCAGAAGUGAAAUUUUGGGGCUUAACCCUGAAACUGCUUUUGAAACUGUAAGUCUUGAGUAUGUGAGAGGAUGAUGGAAUUCCUGGUGUAGCGGUGGAAUGCGUAGAUAUCAGGAAGAACACCGGUGGCGAAGGCGGUCAUCUGGCACAAUACU
rnacentral:rRNA from 1 species